GCUGACUGCAAAUCUGCCGUCAUCGACUUCAAGGUUCGACUCGAGCAAUAGUGAGAGAACGUUGCCGCAGGCAACGGCCCGAAGGGUGAGGAGCUUUAGCUCCGAAUAAUCCUUCCCGCUAUAGAA
rnacentral:sRNA from 3 species